CCGACAGGGGAUUUUAUUUUGGCAAGCAAGAAGCACCGGAAGCUGUGCAUUACUUUGACGCAGCUUAUAGGAACUACACAUAAUUUGUUCAUCGCUACUGUGUUUUUCACAAAAUGACGAAGAAACAUCACGAUAAAUAAAAGAGAACAGCAGCGUCAGCCCGUCAUGGACUCCGAGCUGGUGGCCCGGGAGAGGAGCGGACACACGGCUGUGGUGGAGGGAGACCUGCUCUAUGUGUGGGGGGGUUACCUGUCAAUUGCUGAUGAGGAAGUUUUCCUUCCCAACAAUGAAAUCUGGGUGUACGACUUAGAACGAGGUGCAUGGGAAGUGUUUCCCAUGUCCGGUGAAGUCCCGCCCUCUUUGUCUGGGACCUGUGGCUGCUCUCUGAAUGGGCACUUGUACAUAUUUGGAGGUUGUGAUCACAAUGGACAAACCAAUGAGAUUUAUUGUGUCAACCUGACAGAUGGUAAAUACAUGUGGAGGAAGAUCAGGCAUGAGAUUGGUUCUGCUCCUUCACCUCGAGACAAACUGUCCAGCUGGGUUUACAACGAAAGCAUCAUCUACUUUGGAGGAUAUGGUCGCAAACUGCUGACUAAUGUUGAUAGGAGGAACAGAAGCUUCAUUGUUGAUGAAGCAUCGUGGAUGGAGGACGUCCGCUGGGGAUGGAACAACGAGGUUCAUGUAUUUGACACUGUGAAAUCCCGUUGGAGUGAACCACAGCCCCAUGGCCGUGCUCCAGCCCCCAGGGCCGCUCAUGCCAGCGCAGCAGUCGGCUGCAGAGGAUACAUUUGUGGAGGCAGAGUCAUGGAAACCAGGACGAGUGACAUCCACUGCCUAGACUUUCAAACGUGGACAUGGUCGGAAAUAAUCCCAGUGUCCACCUCUCCAGUGGGCAGAUCAUGGCAUACGCUCACAUCUGUAUCUGACGGCGGACUGUUCCUUUUCGGAGGUCUCAGUGUAGAGUGCAAACCAAUGAGUGAUGGGUGGUUGCUUGAUGUUGAAACCAAGAAUUGGAGAGAGGUUGAGCACCCUUUUAAAAAUAAGCCAAGGUUGUGGCACACGGCAAGUCCAGGCAAAGACUCUGAUGUCAUUGUAUUUGGUGGAAGCUGUGACUCUAUUCUCCUUGUUGACACCGGUCACUGCAAUGAUGCACUUAUUUUCCAGACGCAGCCGUAUCCUCUUUUCAGGAUUUGCAAGGAUUAUAUUGCAAUGAAUUUGAUGAACUGUGAGACACUAAGAGAUCAGCUUCAUCUCCUUCCUCCCAAACUACUCAUGGCAGUACAGACGAGGAUGUCUUUCUACAGGCCCUCAAAGAAGUAUUAGUUCAAUGAAUGUUAUCAUUACUAAAAACAAUGCAGUCCUAAUUUAUUUUUUAAGUACUGUACUUCCUACAGUGCAAACAUUCCAGUCACACUGUGGGCAGUGGUUUUAUUUUUAAAAUAUAUUCUGCAAACAUAUUUCUAGUUUAUUUUAAGUGUAGAGAUGCAGAUUUUAUUUUGUACACUCUACCUGCUGUAUACUCUUAAACCUGUAAUGCCUGUGAUGACUGUGGUGAUUAAAUGGCACAUCAAACUGCUGUUGGCUACUUUGGUUUCAGUAAAUUAAGACAACGCACACACAUAAUCAAAAAUACAGCAAUACUAUUUGUUUAUUUGCAAUAUAAAACGAUAUUACAAAAAUCUUCUUCUGCAUUUCUGCAGUAACGAAUGCGUGAAACCCGGUGAGCUCCAUGUUCCACCACCAGGUGGCAGGAGGCCUCCAUGUUUGAAUGUGGCUGAAACGCAGCUGGGUUCAACCUGGGCCUGACUGAGAGUCUCUGUUGUCACACAUUCCUUCUUCAUAAGAAUGGAAAAGUACAGGAAUCAAGCUUCCAGACGAGGGGGAGGAUCGGCACAGAGAAGGAAGCCACAGCCCAGCUCGCUGCAUAACUGUGGCGUCUCUGACUUCUCCGACAUUCAAAAAUAUUCCUUCUCCCAUGGACCACAAGUUCAGCCUUUGUUGAACUUUCUUUGUGCAUCAAAUCCAACAAAACUAUGUGAAUUUAAAGGGUUGUGCGACAGUAAUUAGGAAAACGUGUGAGAUGCU